AUGCUCAGAGGCGCGCCGCCCGAGACGCCGAACCGGCUCCAGAGCUCCAUCGGGUGCACCGUGUGUUUGAUCGUGAGCGGGAAGUGGGCAACGCCGCCGCCGCCGCCGUCGACGCGGGUGAUCUGCCCCACCGUGAGGCUGCGGCGGGUGGCCGUGAAGGUGGUCUGCACGUACAGGCACACGCGGGAGUGGCACGCCUCGGCGCCGACGCCGAGGCAGCCCACCAUGCAGAGCUGCCCCGUGGACGCGCGCCACACCCCCUCGGCCGAGAGGGUCGUGCCGCCGAGCCCGCUCCGCUUCCCCGCCGAGUACUUGUGCUCCCACGGCGGCACGGCGCGGAACACGGCCGACACCCGCGCCGUGCUCUCGCCGCCCGGGGCGUUCCUCGGCUCGCACCGGACGUCCUGCAUCACGACUCUCACGUCCGUGAAGGCACCGUCCGUCGCGUCGACGGUCUUG
rnacentral:misc_RNA from 1 species